ensembl:lncRNA
GCUUGUUCCAGUCACCUCACGACAGGUCAGGAAAUUGGGAGACGAUAUUUGAACAAGGAAUAACGAUUGUAAUUGGAAAGCUAGCAGACCCAGAAGAUGGCAGACUAGGGUCCCCAAAAAAUAUCCCCUCUCAGCCCUAAUUCGGGGCUCCUUUUAUACACGGAAGGGGGAGGGGCCCGCUGUGGCGCUGACCAAUGACUGAGUGGGGCCGCUAACGGUCGCUGGUUGGCAGUUGCUUUUGCUAACGGUUGCUCGCUUGGGGGAGGGGCCCACGGUGGCCUGAUCAAUAGCUGAGCGAGGAUCGCAGAGCUCAAGCCUGCCCUGCGGAUGUUACAGAACCCUGCUGCAGUCAAAUGUUUUCGCUAGCCUGGCUCUGAAGGAAAUUCCAGUGCAGGAAUGCCAGAGAUGUUCUGAAGGAAGGAAGACAGGAGGACGAUUUUAAUGGAAAAUAUGACUUCAGCUACUGGCUCAGAUGGUCAUGAGUCUGGAAAGUGCUGAAAACCAGAGUUUGGGAUUCCACAUAUGUGAUACUUCUUCUCUGUCUGAGCCUUACUUCACUCAGUAUGACAGUCUCUAAGUGACCCAGGCAUGUCUUAUCUCCUGGCUUUGCCAUCCCUUAAAGGCUUAACCACCUCUGUAUCCAGGACGAAGUGGAGAGGAGAAGAAAUAACAUAGCCUGUUCUUAACUGCUUUGGCCGGAAAUGACACAUGUUACUUCUGCUCACUUUCUAUUGGCCAACACUAGUCACAUAUCUUUGCACAAAUGAAGAGGCCUUAGGAAAUAUGUUGACUCUCUGGGCAGACAUGUUCCAGCAUCAGCUCUGCAGCAUGGGACAGGGAGCACAAAAUAGUCAGCAAAAAGUUAUUUCUGCCCUGAUCUCAAUGACCAUAAAUUCCUUCUAUCCCAUAGGUUCUAUGGUUACAUGAUGUUAUUUGUCUGAAAUACAUGAGAAUUUGAUGAGGGUAAAGGUCCUUUCAAUAGGGCAGUAUUCAUGUGAGAAAUGGCCAAGACAGAAAGUGUCUGUAGUAAAUGUUCUCUAUGGCCUGAGGUUUUCAGCAUCUGAAAAAUGAGUGUCUGGAUCUUUUCUGUAGUCUGUUCAGUGUGGUCCACUGUAGGACUCCAUUGCCAGCAUGGACUCCAGAGGCAGCAGCCUCAUUUAGGCUCCAUGACUCACUGCAGAGAGAGGUACCCAGAGACGUGGUUUUAACAUACUGUUUAGAAAUAAGCAUCUGAGAAGUGUGGAAACAUGCCGUCCUGAUUUGCUCAGCUCUAUCGUUAAGCGCUGGCAUUAUCACCAUCUGCCAAAAUGUGGAAGUUGCUUAAAAAUGAGUCACCUGGCACCAGAAAUCAUUCUGCUCAGAACCUCCCCCACCAUCUCCUGGUAUCAACAACAAGUCUCUGCUGCUUGUAAGUUCUAAGAAGCCUGAAAAAAUAUGAGUCCCCCACCCCCCAUCCCCACCAGGUGACACUUGGUUAUUAAUCCUCCAGGGCGCAGGCAUCAAUUUCCUUGAAAUUUAUUGGCACACUUACUUUUCAUGGAUGCUGAAUCAUGUUGCAUGGACAAAGGCAGUAUUAUUUCUAAGCUCAUAUGAAUGCUUGCUGAAUUAAACUCUUUUUCCUCUCUUUCCCAUCUCAUACCUAGUGUUUCUUCGAUAGGCGGCAGCUUAAACAAUGAGAAACAUAAUACAAUUUGUCUCAUGCAUCUAGAAAGAUGCCAAAUCCUCCACAGUCCAUUUUUGGGUGGUUUCUUUUCUAGAUACCUAUUAAUAUCACCAGGAACCAGGCUUCCAUGGAAUAUAGAAUAGGAAGUUCUGUUAAGAAAUAUUCUAUAAAAAUGUGUGGUGGAUACUGGAGCUGGGGGUUGAGCAGUGAAUGCCAGUAUGAGGGAUGACAUCACCAGGCCCUUCAGGAUGGAAUGCUGGUGAGACAAGGUUCUCUUGGAGCAGACAUUGAGAUGGAGUUUGAGCAGCAAAGUAUUUAUUAGGGAUGCAGAAGAAUUGAUGCUUUUGAACUGUGGUGUUGGAGAAGACUCUUGAGAGUCCCUUGGACUGCAAGGAGAUCCAACCAGUCCAUCCUGAAGGAGAUCAGUCCUGGGUGUUCAUUGGAAGGAAUGAUGUCAAGCUGAAACUCCAAUACUUUGGCCACCUGAUGCGAAGAGCUGACUCAUCUGAAAAGACCCUGAUGCUGGGAAAGACUGAAGGCAGAAGGAGAAGGGGACAACAGAGGAUGAGAUGGUUGGAUGGCAUCACUGACUCAAUAGACAUGAGUUUGGGUCAUGGGAUCUUAGUUCCCCAACCAGGGAUUGAAACUGGGCCCUCAGCAGUGAAAGUGUGGUAUACUAACCACUGGACCUUAGGAACGCCAGGGACUUUCCACAAGUUUCUUUUUCAAAUAAACUUAUUAAAGUCAAAAAAGUGAGAAUGAAAAUAUUAGUGGAACAGACGAUAGCUGACAAAAAUCAUGAAGAUGAUACUUGAAUUUGGAAAAUGUUGAAUUACUGUGUAAAGCAACAAGCUUUAGCUUUUGUUGAGUCCAGAAGACAAUUGAUUUAGUUUCUUAUUGACAGC